rnacentral:rRNA from 1 species
CCUACGGGUGGCAGCAGUGGGGAAUAUUGCUCAAUGGGGGAAACCCUGAUGCAGCAACGCCGCGUGAGUGAUGAAGGUUUUCGGAUUGUAAAGCCCUUUCAUUAGUGACGAUAAUGACGGUAUCUAACUAAUAAGCCCCGGCUAACUCCGUGCCAGCAGCCGCGGUAAUACGGAGGGGGCAAGCGUUCACCGGAAGUACUGGUCGUAAAGGGAGCGUAGGCGGCUUAUCAAGUCAGAUGUGAAAUCCCAGGGCUCAACCUUGGGACUGCAUUUGAAACUGGGAAGCUAGAGUAUGGGAGAGGUAGGCGGAAUGCCUGGUGUAGCGGUGAAAUGCGUAGAGAUUAAGAGGAAUACCAGUGGCGAAGGCGGCCUACUGGACUAUAACUGACGUUGAGGCGCGAAAGCGUGGGGAGCAAACAGGAUUAGAUACCCCUGUAGUC